rnacentral:rRNA from 1 species
UACGGAGGGUGCGAGCGUUGUCCGGAAUCACUGGGCGUAAAGGGCGCGUAGGCGGCGCGGAUAGUCGGCGGUGAAAGCCCGGAGCUCAACUCCGGGUCGGCCGUCGAUACUUCCGGGCUUGAGCACUGUAGAGGCAGAUGGAAUUCCGGGUGUAGCGGUGGAAUGCGUAGAGAUCCGGAAGAACACCGGUGGCGAAGGCGGUCUGCUGGGCAGUUGCUGACGCUGAUGCGCGACAGCGUGGGGAGCAAACGAGGAUUAGAAGUACCCCUU